GAUGAGAUUUGGUGACUGUGGGACUCCGAUGAACACUGAGAAGCGUUUUCCAUGUGAAUUCUGUGGACGGGCAUUUUCACAGGGCUCCGAGUGGGAGAGACACGUGCUGAGACACGGCAUGGCAUUGAAUGACACCAAGCAAGUGAGCAGAGAAGACAUCCUCCCGAAGGAGAUAGUGGAGGACAGUGUCAAGAUGCCCUCCAUAGAGGAAAAGGAAGAUGACGACGAGCCAGUUGGAAUAGACUUUUCCCUAAAGAGUGAAACAGUAGCCAUCUGUGUAGUAGCUGCCGACAAAUCUCUCCUAGAGAAUGCAGAGGCCAAAAACGAAUAAGAGUUUGGUGAAAUUCUUAAUCAAACCUUACUUGAACCGUGAUGAAAAAGUGGGAGGGCCGGCGUGGGCUUGAGAAGGGGGGGGGACAGACAAACGAGAAGACAGAACAAAGCUGCUUUUUAGGACUGAACAAUCUAUUUUCAAAGCACUGGUACCUGUGUGAGUGAGUAUGUAAAUUAAAGUUAUUUAAAUGGUUGGAAUAUGUGGCUCCUUUUCCAUCACUCCAUCUUUUUCUUCGAGAUCUUCACCAUGGAAGUUUUAUUCAUGGCGGAUAUGGAAGCACCUUCGUGGGCACGGUGCGCUCCAUGGCGGUCUUGGACAGUGUGUGCAAACAAGCUCCGGAGACAGUACAAGACUUCUCAUAGGGAACAACUUUUUGACGCACAACUUUCGGGAUGGGGGCCAUCAUGUGGAAACCAGAAAAUGGGGAAAGUGUGGACUCUCUAGACAAAGAUUCAUUUUGUGUCUAUAUUUGUUUUUAAUUGGCCUCAUUUCAAAUGUAUUAAACAGUUCCAUACCUGGAUUGGGUGUUUGUAAUGAUUACCAAAAAACAAAAACAAAAAAAAAAAGGAAGAAAAAGGAAAAAAAGAAAAUAAUUGUGACAUGCUUUUAUCACUACUUUAUUUUUCAAAUAACAUGUAAAUAUUGUAAUCCAUUGGAUUUUGUUUUGCUAACCUGUUAAUAAAAAUAUGGGACCAUUAUCCUUUUAACAAGGCUAGAAUGUCAUUUUUUUUUCUUUUUCAAACAUAUACCUGAUAUUUUGUGGCCGCACAUUUUGGAUGCAUUAUUAUAAUUCUGUUGACUGUAAUGACAURGAAUUUACAACAUUUUUUUUGUUGUUGUUGUUUAAUUUAUACAGAGGACAUUUUUUUUCAGAGCUUGAGAGAAGAAAAUAAAUAGCAGAAUGAUAACCUAUUGACUACAAUAAUCAGUGUUUCCCGAUACUUGGUAAAAGAUGAGGGAGAUUCUGAGUCCUUGAAGCCAAGGGUUUAAAAACAAAAACAAAAAACAAAACAAAACAAAAAAAAMCACAA